UACGGAGGGUGCAAGCGUUGUUCGGAAUUACUGGGCGUAAAGGGCGCGUAGGCGGUUGUGUAAGUCAGAUGUGAAAUCCUUCGGCUUAACCGAAGAACUGCAUUUGAUACUGCAUGACUCGAGUGCGGGAGAGGGAAACGGAAUUCCCGGUGUAGAGGUGAAAUUCGUAGAUAUCGGGAGGAACACCGGUGGCGAAGGCGGUUUCCUGGUCCGACACUGACGCUGAGGCGCGAAAGCGUGGGGAGCAAAC
rnacentral:rRNA from 1 species